UUAAAACUCAAAGGAAUUGACGGGGACCCGCACAAGCGGUGGAUGAUGUGGAUUAAUUCGAUGCAACGCGAAAAACCUUACCUACCCUUGACAUGGCAGGAAUUCCGAAGAGAUUUGGAAGUGCUCGCAAGAGAACCUGCACACAGGUGCUGCAUGGCUGUCGUCAGCUCGUGUCGUGAGAUGUUGGGUUAAGUCCCGCAACGAGCGCAACCCUUGUCAUUAGUUGCUACGAAAGGGCACUCUAAUGAGACUGCC
rnacentral:rRNA from 1 species